GGGGCAGACUCCAAUUGCGUGUUCACUGUUCAUUCUCUUGGAAGCUGUUGUGGCAGUCAGUUUGCUCUCUUGCUGUUUACGCUUCAUCAUUGCUAAUUGUGAGCAUAACAACAAGCGACAGCAUGAAGAUGAAGAACGCAAGAGCAGAGAAGGCUGUGUGACGAAGUCAGCCAAUAGUUUGCUAACUGGGACCACACCACAAUAGGAUGGCCUCUAUCCGAAGAGAAUAUAAGUGCCACUCCAGCCAGCCUUGGCCAGACGGUAGAAGAUGGACACCAGUAGACCCGGACAAGAAACCACAUUGUACAUAGCAAAAGACAUUUAUUGUUUGCAUUUCGCCCAAUGCUUGUGACAACUCGUUGUAAACCAAAGUUAAGUAUUAUCAAUCUACUUCAUUAGAAUGGAAACCAUUAA